AACGAACGCUGGCGGCAUGCCUAACACAUGCAAGUCGAACGAGACGUUCGGGUUUAGUGGCGAACGGGUGCGUAAAGCGGGGGAACCUGCCCGUAGGUUCGGAAUAACUCCCCGAAAGGGGUGCUAAUAACGGAUAAUGUCAUCGGACCAAAGAUUUAUCGCCUUUGGAUGGGCGCGCGUUGGAUUAGCUGGUUGGUAGGGUAAAAGCCAACCAAGGCGACGAUCCAUAGCUGGUCUGAGAGGGUGAUCAGCCACACUGGGACUGGGACCCGGCCCAGACUCCUGCGAGAGGCAGCGGUUGGGAAUAUUGGGCAAUGGGCGAGAGCCUGAUCCAGCAAUGCCGCGUGAGUGAUGAAGGCCUUAGGGUUGUAAAUCUCUUUUGCCCGGGAUGAUAAUGACGGUACCGGGAGAAUAAGCUCCGGCUAACUCCGUG
rnacentral:rRNA from 1 species